rnacentral:rRNA from 1 species
GCAAUACGGCAGCGGCAGACGGGAGAGUAACACGUGGGAACGUACCCUUCGGUUCGGAACAACCCAGGGAAACUUGGGCUAAUACCGGAUACGUCCGAAAGGAGAAAGAUUUAUCGCCGAGGGAUCGGCCCGCGUCCGAUUAGCUAGUUGGUGAGGUAACGGCUCACCAAGGCGACGAUCGGUAGCUGGUCUGAGAGGAUGAUCAGCCUCACUGGGACUGAGACACGGCCCAGACUCCUACGGGAGGCAGCAGUGGGGAAUAUUGGACAAUGGGCGCAAGCCUGAUCCAGCCAUGCCGCGUGGGUGAUGAAGGCCCUAGGG